ACAAGACAACAAGAGUAUUUUAUUAACAUUAAACAUAUUUUUGAAAUACUAAAGUUUAAAUUAAAUUCUGGAAAAUUGGUACCGUGAUCUCUGUGCCAGUUUAAGACAACAGUGUACUACAGAAAGUAACUGCACUAGCUUCAUUUCCUCAACUGCAAACCAAAACGGAAGCAACAAAUAUCAUCAAGCCCAAUUGCAUUUGUGGCCGAAAACUGGAAAUAUUUACUUGCCCGAUGGGGCUAAAAUUUUGGCAUUGCCUUUCGCCAGAGGGAGACGACAGAUAAGCAGAAAGGAGUUUCCUGCCCCAUUUGGCCAAAAGGAAGAGGCAGACUCGGCCAAAAUGCACAUGCACUAUACGUCAAAAUGUCAGCGCUUUUGAUGACCACAUUAGAUGAAGAGCUGGAUGCUAUCCCCAUCAUUUCUCUUCCAUAUCGGACGAUUAUGAUGACAGAUUGCUUUAUUGUGAUAUAUCGGCAAUAACAACCCAAUUCGCAGACAUGUUGCGUUUCGGCAAGGCAAUCAAAGUGGCAUGCAACACAAAUGUGCAAUCUAGUUGCAAACCCAUCCCGAAAAUAGCUGCUGAAAAAUAAAAGCGAUCCACGUUGAAGUGACAGAGCAACACACAAUGUCAUGGCUGGGAACUUUCAUCAGGUGUGUUUGUCUGCCAUAGAAUGGUGAUGGCAAUGGCAAUGGAGAUGAUGAUGACGAUGAUGAUGGUACGGGGGUGCUUAGUACCAGAUAGACAAAAAAGCCAUUAAAAGCGACUUAAAUGUUGCGAAAUGUUUUCACGCUCUCUGAUCUGAACUGCACUCGCAUUCCGGCGGAAAAGUGAAGACUGAGCAGCAACAGCAGCAACAACAACAACUGGGGAUAACAUCAAACAAAAGGGGUACGAGCAACAAAACCAAACGAAGUGUAUCACAAGAAGCCAUCGCGAGGAGAAUGAGUCAGACUGAUGAGAGGGAUGCCCAAAGAGGGCAGAGGGGUCCACAGAAGCGACAUAAUGGAUAAAUCCGGAGCUGACUAGGAGGAUGACUACUCGGAGUCGAGGGCAACCGCAUGGAACUGAACAUAACUUCAUGGAAUGCAUACUAAGUGUGAUAUUAAAGGGUGACUAAAGAGUGUUUUGCAACAAUGAUUAGUUUAAUAGAGCUUCAUGGAGCUUAGUCAAAUAAAUUUAGAUUUUCAUGAGCUCAGCUUCACCCCAUUCAACCUGCGCCAACUGACAGUGAAUAGAAAACUCAGUCCGUGUUUAAGGACAAAAAGGAGAGGCACGAGUUUGACCAAACAUGAAAUAUGAAAAGUUGGCAUGUUGCAUAUCAGCGAUUCAUUAUGCUGG